rnacentral:rRNA from 1 species
UACGAAGGGGGGCUAGCGUUGCUCGGAAUCACUGGGCGUAAAGGGUGCGUAGGCGGGUCUUUAAGUCAGGGGUGAAAUCCUGGAGCUCAACUCCAGAACUGCCUUUGAUACUGAGGACCUUGAGCUCGGGAGAGGUGAGUGGAACUCCGAGUGUAGAGGUGAAAUUCGUAGAUAUUCGGAAGAACAUCAGUGGCGAAAGCGGCUUCCUGGACCAGAACUGACGAUCAGGCACGAAAGCGUGGGGAGCAAACAGG